AUUUAAUGACAGCCAGAGCAGAUCAGGGGCGAUCUUUCUGUCCCAGACGCUAUUUUAAAGAUGUCAGGCAGCCAGUAGCAAAUUCUUAGUGGAGUUGAGCGGCGGAGCCAAGGGCAGAUCUGACUCUUGACGCUUAUCACAGGAUGAACAUUGCAAGUCGACGAGUCCCUGGAAGUGUGGGUGCUCCUGGAAAUGACGAAUUGUUUGACGAGAGAGAGAGAGGGAAAAAGUGUUUACUGAAAGUGAAAACCUCUGGCAUUUUUGGAAGAGUUUGUUACCAAGCAUCAUGUCAGCUGAUUGUUUCUUUUCAAUACGCACUUAAUACCAAUUCUUUGAACUGAUGUGUGAAAUAAAUUAUCGGAAUUAUCACCUUAUGCCAAUUCAAAUUAGACAAUGAUGUACUACAAUUGAUUACCUUUUGGACACCUUAAAGAACACUGUGUUUCAGAGUGCAGACAGAAUGGUAGACUGCCCUUAAAAAUUCAAAUAUUGGCUGCUGUUGUACUUCCCUUUUGCUUCAGGGUCAUUUCAUUUCCAGUAAUGUCGCAGUUGCUACCGCGGAAUGAACACAAGACGCGAGUCGUAGAGUUUCAGAACAGAACUGGUUUAUUUUCCCGCCUUGCGCGGGCCUUUUAAGGGAGACUGUUCCCGCCCAAUGCAACCGGCAAUGACGUAUAUGCUACGUCAUCAAGUCUUUCCCGCGUGCGGGUUCUCCCCGUCGCUCAGGGAAGACGAAGGCCCACCGCCAUCUUGGGCCUCGCCGCUCCGACGCCGUGCGACCUGACUGCCGAGCCGGUUCGCUUGCCCGGACAGUGAGUCGCUACAGUAAGGUCUUAUUGGUUUGAGACUAUUGUCAAGAUGAUUAGUUGAUGUGCAUAAGUUCUUAUAAUCGGCCCUGGUGGCAAUGGUGAUUCUAUUAUCUUUUCACUUUCUCCAUAGUCCUACAUUCCUCCCCUUAACGACACAGCUAAGAUUGGAAAUUUGCCUUGUGCCAUCCACUAAGACAAAUCCCAAUCCACACAGUUUGCCCUCCUUUGCAAAAUAGUUUGCAAAAGCAAAAUAAUUUGAAUAUCUUCAUGGGUUACUAAAUAUACAAUAGCAUGCCUGGAUCACAUCUAAUUGAUUGAGACAGAUUUUUAUAGUACAACUAAUCAUUUGCUGCAUUUCCAUGUUUUCAGGUAUCUGUGUUACAAAUAUUCAUUUUAAGUUGGAAUGCCUGUUAAGCAAGUUUGAAGUCAUAAGAAAAAUAUAUCAAAAAUUCAUAUCCUUUUCAUAUAGACUAAAGAACUUAAAUUCAAAUGCCUAAACUUAAGAAAUAAUUAAUUGGAAUUAAUGUUAU